rnacentral:tRNA from 1 species
GGGGAUAUAGCUUAGCUGGGAGAGCGCCUGCCUUGCACGCAGGAGGUCAGCGGUUCCAUCCCGCUUAUCUCCACCAA